UACGGGGGGGGGCAAGCGUUUGUUCGGAAUUACUGGGCGUAAAGGGUUCGUAGGUGGCCGGCUAAGUCAGACGUGAAAUCCCUCAGCUUAACUGGGGAACUGCGUCUGAGACUGGUCGGCUUGAGUGCAGGAGAGGAACGCGGAAUUCCAGGUGUAGCGGUGAAAUGCGUAGAUAUCUGGAGGAACACCGGUGGCGAAGGCGGCGUUCUGGACUGCAACUGACACUGAGGAACGAAAGCCAGGGGAGCAAACGGG
rnacentral:rRNA from 1 species